ACGGGUGAGUAACACGUGGGCAAUCUGCCCUUCACUCUGGGACAAGCCCUGGAAACGGGGUCUAAUACCGGAUACCACUUCCACUCGCAUGGGUGGGGGUUGAAAGCUCCGGCGGUGAAGGAUGAGCCCGCGGCCUAUCAGCUUGUUGGUGAGGUAACGGCUCACCAAGGCGACGACGGGUAGCCGGCCUGAGAGGGCGACCGGCCACACUGGGACUGAGACACGGCCCAGACUCCUACGGGAGGCAGCAGUGGGGAAUAUUGCACAAUGGGCGAAAGCCUGAUGCAGCGACGCCGCGUGAGGGAUGACGGCCUUCGGGUUGUAAACCUCUUUCAGCAGGGAAGAAGCGAAAGUGACGGUACCUGCAGAAGAAGCGCCGGCUAACUACGUGCCAGCAGCCGCGGUAAUACGUAGGGCGCUAGCGUUGUCCGGAAUUAUUGGGCGUAAAGAGCUCGUAGGCGGUCUGUCGCGUCGGAUGUGAAAGCCCGGGGCUUAACCCCGGGUCUGCAUUCGAUACGGGCAGACUAGAGUGUGGUAGGGGAGAUCGGAAUUCCUGGUGUAGCGGUGAAAUGCGCAGA
rnacentral:rRNA from 1 species